GCAAGAAAAGUUCAUUUUAUUUUCAAUUAUGCAAAAAAUACAUCAUUUACAAUGAUUUUAGAAUUGAUCUAUUUUGGACAUUCUUGGUUAUUAUUUUUCAUGGACAUUAACCUAUAUUGCGUGCAUCCAUUGCCACUAUUUUUUCUAAAGAGCAUCCAUUACCACUAAGCACGUUCAUUUCUGUGACAGGAGAGCAUUAAUAGUCUAGUAAAUUCUUAAGUCUGUUAUGUUUACAAAUAAUAAGAAUAAGAAGAAGAAGAAGAACAACAGUAAUAAUCCAUAAAUAAAUAUAAAAAUUAUCCUUUUUGCACAUUGAAAGUAUAGCUUAUUGUUUAGAGAUAGCAACUCAAGAGGGAGGAUAAAUAGGAUCAUUUAAAAAUUAAAUACAAAUAUGUGUUCUAAAUAUCAAUUACAAAUAUGCUUGUGUUAUGCUUGAAGAAAGAUAA
rnacentral:lncRNA from 1 species